rnacentral:lncRNA from 1 species
CUUGAAUCCGCAGUUCGAGCACCCAAACCGGAGAUCGUUUGGUAAGGCGAGUCCGGAAACCGGACCUCUAUCAGCCAACACAUAUGCCACGGUUUGCGUUACUGAUCAAGAGAGAGGACUAAAAGAGCAUGUGACAUAAAAUUUAAUUGUACAUUUCUUUCUUUAAUUUACAUUGUGGAUGACUUUUGUCUCGUGAUCAUUUUUUUAGUAUUAUACAUCCAAUAUACUUUUAAAGUCAAUCCUAAGUACAAAAUUGAAAUGCUAUAUCCCCAUUGGAUUUUGCCUUGUUUGA